UCGUGAUUUUGCUCUCAAGAACACCCACUGUACCUGUAGAUACAGACUCACAACAGUUUUUCGUUUCGUAAUCCCACCAUUUUGUCUCCACUCUGAUCUCAUCUCCUAUAACCUAAAACUGGUAGCUGCUUUCACUUGUAAAACUGAGGAGAUUAGGUUAAGGUAAAUUGUUGUUUGUCUUGUCGGUCUUGACUGGGGUGUUGACUUGAAUUGAUUUGAUGGCCGAAGAGCAGUUAGAUUAUGGAGACGAGGAAUUUGGAGGGUCUCAAAAGAUGCAAUAUCAUGGGGAUGGAGCAAUUCCUGCACUCGCGGACGAUGAGAUUGGAGGUGAGGAUGAUGAAUACGAUGAUCUCUACAAUGAUGUUAAUGUUGGAGAAGGUUUCCUGCAGAUGCAGCGGUCUGAGGCACUACCAUCUGCUAAUGUGGGAAAUGGAGGGUUCCAUGAUCAGAAAGUAAACGUUCAGGAAGCUCGACCUGAAGCUAUGCCAUCACAAGAUAUAAACAUACCUGGUGUUGCAGCUGAAGGUGUCUAUCCGAGUACUGGCCUGCGGUUGCCUGACAACAAGGAGGGGAUGACUGUUGAUCUUUUGCAAAAAAGAAUGGUUCCUCAAGUGACUAAUGAUGUCCAGGCUGUAAGUAUGGGUUUUCGAGGAUCAAUCACUGUGCCCCAAAAACCUUCAGUUGAUCCCAUUAGUAUGUCAGGGGCCAUCACCAAUGAGCCUGCACCUAUGCUAAAUUCUAAUGCAGGUCAUAGCAUAGGAGGUGUUCCUCAAAUGCCAGGUAAUCAGAUGGGGGCUAAUGCUAAUGUGAAUAUGACGCGGCCAGUUGUCAAUGAGAAUCAAAUUCGGCCACCUGCGGAAAAUGGUGCUACCACGCUCUUUGUUGGGGAGCUACACUGGUGGACCACAGACGCUGAGCUUGAGAAUGUAUUAUCUCAAUAUGGAAGAGUCAAAGAGAUAAAGUUCUUUGAUGAAAGAGCUAGCGGUAAAUCCAAGGGAUAUUGCCAAGUCGAGUUUUAUGAAUCAGGCUCUGCUGCUGCUUGCAAAGAGGGGAUGAACGGUUAUGUUUUCAAUGGAAGACCUUGUGUAGUGGCAUUUGCUUCCCCACAGACUAUAAGACAGAUGGGUGCUUCUUAUGCAAACAAGAAUCAAGGAACAGCUCAAUCUCAGCCAGAACCACAAGGAAGGAGACCUAUGAAUGAUGGGGCAGGAAGAGGUGGUGGAACAAAUUUUUCUGGUGGAGAUGCAGGGAGGAAUUAUGGGAGAGGUAAUUGGGGACGAGGAGGGCAGGGAGUUCUCAAUAGGGGCGGUGGACACAUGAGAGGUAGAGGGGCGAUGGGACCAAAAAAUGUAAAUGCACCUGGUUUUGGAAGUGGUCCUGCUGGAGGAGCUUAUGGGCAAGGUCUUGGAGGUCCUGCUUUUGGGGGUCCUCCUGGUGGAUUCAUGCAUCCUCAAGGUAUGAUGGGUGGUGGGUUUGAUCCAACAUAUAUGGGUCGAGGAGCGGGUUAUGGUGGCUUUCCAGGUUCUGGUUUUCCUGGUAUGAUGCCUCAGUUUCCAGGCGUCAAUACCAUGGGACUUGCUGGGGUAGCUCCACAUGUGAACCCAGCGUUCUUCGGCCGCGGGAUGGGUGCCGGUGGUAUGGGGAUGAUGGGUACCAGUGGGAUGGAGGGACCUCAGGCAGGAAUGUGGGGUGACACCAGCAUGGGUGGAUGGGGAGGAGAAGAGCAUGGACAAAGGACGAGAGAGUCCAGUUAUGGGGGUGAAGAUGGUGCUUCAGAAUAUGGGUAUGGAGAAGCAAGCCAUGACAAAGGAGCACGUUCAAAUGCAGUUUCUAGGGAAAAGGAAAGAGGUUCCGAGCGUGAAUGGUCGGGGAAUUCAGAGAAAAGGCACCGUGAUGAUAGGGAUCAGGAUAGGGAGAGGCAUGAUAAGGACUACAAGUACAAAGAGGAGAAGGAUAAUUAUAGGGAGCAUCGUCAGAAGGAACGCAACGCGGGUUAUGAGGAUGACUGGGAUCGUGGACAGUCUUCUACAAGAUCCAGGAGCCGAUCACGAGCCAUGCCAGAAGAUGAUCACCGGUCUAGGUCGAGGGAUGCAGAUUACGGGAAGCGAAGGCGCAUGCGAUCAGAUUAAGUUUGCCAAGCAGUUCAUUCUUCUUGUAGGAUCUUUGAAGUUCAACUUGUUGCUGUGUCUUUAUAUCAUAUUGAUGGUGUGCUUUCUGACUCAGCUGACACCAUAUGCAGAACCCGCUUCAGGAUUCAAAAGGAACAGAAUGGCAGAAACCCUUUGUGUUUUGACCUGGAUGAAGCCGACUUGAUUCAUUGCUUUCUUUGGAUUCUAUGAAAUUGGCUAAGUUAAAUUUUGCAUCAACUGCCCAUAUCUGCUGGUCUGCACCGAAAAAUGAGUGCUUUUUGUUGUUUCUUUUUCUUCAACUGUAGUAGAAUUUUUCAUGUAUAUCGUUACAUUAUCUUGUAAAAUCGUCCCCUUUUUGUCACGACAGUCGUUUUAGCAUCUGAUUUUGUUGUAUUCGGGCAUCUGUUUCUGUUUCUUUAGGAUCAUAUUCUCGAGUUGUAAAUACCAUUGUAAUUUUGUGCAGCAUGUAGCUAGCCGUUUAGCGUAUGUUCUAGUCCUGUAACGAUGUAAUGCCUAGAUCAUGCUAGUUUUUUAGGCCUUCAUGCUCGUCGGUUGCUUCUGUAUUUUAAAAGGCUGCAAUUGACUACGUUCUGCUAUAGUUUUUUAGUUUGUAACAACGAGAAUCUUGUACGUUGUAAUCUGGUGACAUUUUUGUUAGGUUUUGUACUAAAA